rnacentral:lncRNA from 1 species
AUGGACAACGACAGUACCACUGCCAGGGCGGAGAGGAGCUUCUGGACAGUUUGGGCCUAUAUAACUGGAGCCGUCAGCAGAUUCUUCAGACCGGAGCCUGCUAACAUCAUCGUCAAUGACCCGAACUCCUUCCAUGAAUCCAAAGUUGACAGCGAGGAUGCAAACUGUGGUCAGGCGGAGGGUGACGCCAGAGGAAGGGAAGUCGAUGAGGAACCGCCUCUUGCAACAGUCUCCGUGCUUAGUGUAUCUCGGGCUGUUGUUGCCUGGGAACCUUGCAAAACAGAAAUCAACUUGGCUUGCGAUGAGGAAAGCAAGCCGUGCAAAACCCAGCUGAGCAGUGAGGGCACGAGAGAGGAACAGUCCAUCCAAACAGGAAGUGAUGAUACUGGUGAGCUCAUCGCUGAAGAGGCAAAAGAAGACGAACAAGUAGAGAUCGGAGAUCGGAAUUUUAAAGCUGGCGGACGAGAUGAGAUGCAGGAGGAUGAUGUGUACGAAGAGCAUGUGAAGUCGCUAAGACUUACAGAUGAUGCAGCGAAUGAAGAUGUGGAAGAAAGCAGAGGAAAAGCUGUAGCCGAGGAGGAGAGAGCAAUGACACUGGAUGAUCAUCAAAAAAUGGAUGAAACCUUGAUAAAGGUCCAGGUAAAGGAUGAAGAAGAUGAUAAAAUACACCAUGAAGAUGAGCGAGAUAUGAAGGCAGAAGACUCUGAGGUAAAUUUGUCUAUGAUCGCAGCUUUGAGUCUAGAAGAGGAGGACAACACGCACAUAGUAGAGGCGAGGGUGCUGAGAGACCAGGCACGCAUAGCGAUGACGCGUGAGGAAGUAGAGGACGGUGAUGGUGUGUUGCCGCUGGCUUCUGAAAAUGAAGACAAAUCCGAUCAAGGAGCAGAAGAAGCUGGAGACCUUUCAGACGACGAAGGAGAUCUGGAGGGAGACCCAAGAUUUACUUCAGUGCAUGUCGCGUCACAACUGGCCGACAACAACAGAGGCAUUGUUUCCGAGGAUGAGCUAAUUCUUGUUGGACAACAGCAUGUGAGCACGCAUAGCAGUGAAAGUGAGGACGCAAAAGAGAAAGAGGACGAGAGAACACUGGAUGAGACGGAGCAGGAUGCUGUAAUUGAGGAAGAAGAUGUGAGCGAGGUUGCAAGCGACCAGGCAAAAGAUGACUUCAGCUUGAAAACAGUUUCAGAAGAUGGUCAAGAAGAAGAAUUCGCGCAGAAUGCUGAAACGGAGCCGAUCACGGCUGAAGUCACAGAUGGAGAGCAAGAGGACAUGGCCACAGACACAGAAGUGCAAACCAAAACGAGAGAGACACAUGCUGUUGAACUAGAAAGCCAAGGCGAGGUGAGCAAUGGAAAUACUGAUACAGACAUUCCCGUAGGUGAGACAUUUUUUGAUAAAGAUCAAGCAGAGGAGGAGAGGCACUCCAGUGAGGGCGUCAACAAAGAUGGUUGCCUAGAAGUAGUGUGCACAACCACCUUGGUUACAGUAAACCCCGAAGGCGAGACUGGACAGGAAAUUAGUGGAGAGUUUAAAAAUAUUCCUCCGGGGACAUGUGAAGGCCGGCUUGUUGUGUCGCAGGAGCUGAAUUCUCCCACAUGUGAGGAAGCACGAGAGGGAGUUCCUGAACACAACAAUGAGCCAGGGCCAGAUGAAAAUGCAACACAAUGGUUCCUGGAAGCAGGAGAUUGCGAGGAAAUCCAGACCUUGCAAUUACCAGAAGAGGUGGAGGGCAAAGAGCCGGAGAGCCUUGAAAACAGUGGCUGGAGCACCGGAGCUGACCAUUCACUGGCGAGGGAGCGUAUGGAAGAGGAACAAGAAAGCCCAGAAGAGAUAAGAAACAGCUUUGAUUCGGUUGUAGAGGAGCAUGCUGACGCUGGAUUGCAUCAAGAGGCAGAAACCGUACUUAUUGAACCAGUAAUUCAAGAUUCGGGGGUUUUAUUUGACGAAGAGCAAGAAACAUUAUCGGCUGACUCAAUGAAGACAGGGAUCGAACAAUCGGAGAAGGAAUUCGAGUCAGACGUCGGCUCAACAGAUGAGAUUGAUAAGACGGUAAAAGAGCCGCAGGAUGGGACUGAAGAGCUUCUGGUUGAUCUUGAGAUGGAUGAGGGAUUAUGUGAUGUCAGAGAAACUGAUGCUGUAGUGCAGAAAAUGGCAGAGAUUAGCUUCUUUCAGGAGUCGGUAGAAGCAGUAAACUCGGAGCAAAACAGCUACAGGACACAGAGUUUCCUAGAAGACUUCACAGAAUCUGGAUUCCUGAAACAGUCGAUUGAGACUGAACCUCGAGCAGACUUACUUGAGCAGAGUGCUGUACAAAUGCAAUAUGCAGGGAGAGAUUUGGAGGAAACGUAUUUUGGGGUUAAAGAGGAGGUUGCACAAGAUGAAGUGCACAACGAGAAUGAGAUGGAAACUGGAGAGACUUUGAUCGCAGAAUCUGAGUCAUUGGAGACGCAAAAUCAGCUAUCAGACGCAGCACUUGAGAUAAGCAACGAGAAGACUGAAGCAGCGGGAGAAUCACUGACAAGUGAGUCCAAACCAGAAGAUUCAACUGUGAUAUCAGCAGAAGAAGUGUCAAGGCGUGUGACAGAAUCAGAAGGGAGUUACGCUGAAGACAGCCCAAUCAGCAGAGGUCAAGAUGUGAUUGAUGAAGAAGUCCUUGACUUAUGGAUACAGACGGCGCUGUCAGAGGACACUGAUGGCAUCAAACAAGAAGAAGGGCCUGAACCUGGACAACAAAUUGACUCGGAUACGGAGCAAUCAAAUGAGGAGCAACAUGAAGUCUUAUCAGUACAGAGAGAUAAGGUUAAAGAGCAGCUUGUGGAGCUGAAUUCAGAGGAAUCUGAGCUGAUGAGUGACACAGAAAUGUCUUCAUCGACAGCAGAGUCCGGAUUUUCAGAUCAGUCUCUCUGUGAAUCAGGCACACAGGGCAGUGAAACUCAGUUACAGGAUUCAACCAGCAGUGGAUCGUGUCAAGGCAUUGAUGACACGUUGGCUAACAUGUCAGAAUCGGCAGACAUCUCUGAACUGUCAACACAACAACCAGAGUCGGGGUUAGGUCAGGAAACGGCUGAAAAAGGGGAAUCGUUUCUGAAACGGGAGGAAUCUUCCGCUGAGAGGCAAACAGAGGCCGGACAUCUGAAUCAGGGAUCAGAUGAAUCACAAGGAAAAGCGGACGAAGAGAAUGGAUCACAGAAAGAUAGUGAUGCUGACAUAACAGACCCAGCAAGGACAACUGACCGGAAAGACACAGAAGAAGUUGAGUCACUAACAGAAAUGAGCGCUCAUGUCCAAGUCGAGGAAACAAAAGUCAAAGUUGAGCCUCUCGAGAUUUCUGGCUCUGCAGAUGAAGUCGAACACACUGACUCGGGACGAUCUAGAAGUGGCUCAGAGGGAAGCGUGUCAUCAGAAUCACAAAACGACACCAGCAUUGAAUCCGAGAAGACGUUAUUGAUGUUGCCCUCAGUGGACAAACUGCCCAGAUUUUCAGAAGAUGAUUCUUUACAUGAGCUAAACAGGGCUGAGAUGGCACCGCAGCCGACAUCAGAAGAUCAGAUGGAGGUGGACGCCUAUGUGUUGGACUUUGCUGCACAAAGGUCAAGAAUUGCUGUUAAAAACCCUCGUGUGAGGCCACCCAAAGACCCCCGCUCCCUGCUACACAUGCCCUCAGUGGAUCCCACACCUUCCUCUCGUCUGCCUGUCAAAGUACCUGCAGGUGUGCCUUUCGGAGGAUUGGGCAUUGGCGUGAAACUUCCUGGGCUUGGUGCAGGUUUUCCCGUUUUAAAAAAGACUCCAAGGGUGGUGAGAGAUGAAAAUAGCCAGGAGCCACUCUCACAGGGACCCGAGACAAAGCCAGAGGAGAAGAGUGACUCUCCCAAACAAGACGAGGCGCCACACAAACCAAAAUGGAUGCCACCAAGACACCCAGGAUUUGGAAAUCCGCUCAUGUCUGAGCUGAAGACGAAACUGAAGAAAACCACAAAAGAUUGAGAGGAAGAUAAAAUGUACCGCUUUAUGUGAAUAUCUGAAUGUAAUAUACUGAUGGCUGUAUUUUUUUGUGUGUGUAUAUAAGAAACUGAAUACAGUGAUGACAUGUUCUUCCUGCAGUUACUAUCCUGAUGUUUUGUAACUUUUGUAAUAAAGCUCAUCUGUAAGAGGAAUCAUAGUUUCUUGCACAAAAAUUGAAAAAAUUGUGAAGAAAUAUGCUGACAGAAGCAAGUUGUGGGGCCACAUGAUAAUGGUUCAGGUUGCAUGGAAAUGUAGUGAGUUACUGAAUACUAAUUAUAUGUCAGUUUUUGUUAUUGGUAAUGUAAUCCAUUUGAUAGCAAAUUAUGUAAUCACAAUUAAUUUAACUCCUUUUUCAAGCGAUGGAAGACAAAAUUCAUACAAGUUUGUAAUCUGGACAAAUAGAUCGACUUGAACCUUGAAUAUUAGUAUUAGUGUGACUUCACUGAUCAAAAG